GACGAACGCUGGCGGCGUGCUUAACACAUGCAAGUCGAACGGAAAGGCCCUGCUUGCAGGGUACUCGAGUGGCGAACGGGUGAGUAACACGUGGGUGAUCUGCCCUGCACUUCGGGAUAAGCCUGGGAAACUGGGUCUAAUACCGGAUAGGAGCCAUUUUUAGUGUGAUGGUUGGAAAGUUUUUUCGGUGUAGGAUGAGCUCGCGGCCUAUCAGCUUGUUGGUGGGGUAAUGGCCUACCAAGGCGGCGACGUGUAGCCGGCCUGAGAGGGUGGACGGCCACAUUGGGACUGAGAUAAGGCCCAGACUCCUACGGGAGGAAGCAGUGGGGAAUAUUGCACAAUGGGCGCAAGCCUGAUGCAGCGACGCCGCGUGGGGGAUGACGGCCUUCGGGUUGUAAACUCCUAUCGCUAGGGACGAAGCUUUUUGUGACGGUACCUAGAGAAGAAGCACCGGCUAACUACGUG
rnacentral:rRNA from 1 species